GGGCGAAUGGUUUAGUGGUAUAAUACUCCCUUAGCAUGUUGUCCACAUCUGGGAGUGGUCCAGGGUUCGAUUCCCUGUUCGUCCA